rnacentral:rRNA from 1 species
UACAGAGGAUGCAAGCGUUAUCCGGAAUGAUUGGGCGUAAAGCGUCUGUAGGUGGCUUUUUAAGUCCGCCGUCAAAUCCCAGGGCUCAACUCUGGACAGGCGGUGGAAACUACCAAGCUGGAGUACGGUAGGGGCAGAGGGAAUUUCCGGUGGAGCGGUGAAAUGCGCAGAUAUCAGGAGGAACACCGGUGGCGAAGGCGGUUCUCUGGGAAUGACCUGACGCUGAGGAGCGAAAGUGUGGGGAGCGAACAGG